rnacentral:lncRNA from 1 species
CGAAAGAAACAACCCGAACCCCAGGCUGAGUCCCCAUCAAACUCUCUCAAUGCUCAAGCUGGGGGUGAUUUCCAGUGCUGGUUGAUGGUUGGCAAGUAAUCAGCUUGUGGUUCUAAUAUUUUCAUCCUUUAGUCUGCUUUUGUUGCGGGGAGACUGAAAUGAUGCAAUGGUGCUACUGGGUUCAAUACUUCCGGAAAUCUGGCAACAUAAAGAGGUAUCUGAACAGUUCGUUUUGGUUCCUAAUAUUAAAAACGGUCAACAGUGUUUUUAUUUACUUCAAAUGUUUGUUAACAGCUGUCGCUGGAUGCGAAUAUUAAUGCCGGCAACAAUCUCCUCUUUUUUUUUUUUUGUUGAAAAUUUUGAGGUUGUUUUAACAGCUGUGUCAAUGCCAAUAUGGUAAUCAGUUUCCCUUUUUAUUUCAUAUGCAUCCUUAUUGCGUACUGAGCUUUGUUCCAAGCCAAUUUAUCCAGAGUGAGUUAGUGUAUGCAGCUUCUAUAUCCAUUUCUGGAGUUGAGGUGGUGUUCAACUUGUUUGCCGUGGAGUUUGUUCCUAGGCCAAAGGGAGCUGACUUGCAAUGCGACAUUUUCUUCUUUAUUUUGUCGUUCGAGAUGCCAUCUACCCAUGACAAAUAAAUCUUGAUUUUUGUCAGAAGUUAUAUCGGGUCCUCGGAUCCUGAAAAAUAUAUCUUGUUCGUGUAAGAUAGCUGUGGUCGAAGUCAUAUUGUUCAAGAAUAGAUAUGUUCAGUAAUAAUGGAGACUACCUUUGGACCCGAACCUGGCUCCCGCCCGGACUUUUGAUUGGAUCUCGAACAUCAUGGCUAUUCUUCUUAAAAAUAUUAAAAAAUAUUUAAAAUAUUAAAUAUGAACAAUAAAAUAUUGUUAUCAAUCUAUAAUAUAUCUAUUAUCCCAUUAAGCUCAUAUAUGAACAACAACCAUCAAUUCAUUCAACAAAUACAUCAAAUCUAAAUAAAUAACACGACAAAAAUAAAAAAUGGGUCGGGCUUAAAUCCCGAAUCUCUGGCCUAGCCCGUUUAUUAAAUGGGUUUAUUUUUCAGGCUCUACCAAUCAGUGGGUCUUCAAAGCUUGGGCCCAAACUUGGCCAAAAAGCUUCGAGCUUGAAUAAGUCUGACAAGUUGUCUGACCUCUACAGCUUGUGACUUCACUUAGCUCUGCCAUGGAGUUUACAUUUGCUUAGGGUAUUGUUAGCAAGAAAGAAUUGAAUCUUUAUCAUUGUUGACAGUCUAGCUUGUCCUGAUUUUCGUCCAUGGCCUUUUCCAAUUUAGGUAAUAGUCACGAAUGAUCUUUCCUAAUUUAGGGGAUAACCAAGAAUGGGUUGUCAUCAUCUUUUGUAAAGAAUGAAAAUCAUGUAUAAAAAGAGGAGGAUUCCUAAGACUGAAAGUAAGAAAGAAAGAAAAAAGAAUAAAAUCUUGUUUCACUUUCUCUCGUAUAUCUCUUUUUCCUUUUUCAACUUGGUAUCAGAGCCUAUUUAUCAUCCUAUUACCAAAGCCUUCACAAAGGCUUCAUCCCCUUCAUCCCCUUACCCACCACCGGUGUUCAUCGAAAGAUGGCCAUCCCCAUUCCGUCAUUGUGCCAACCAUCAUUACCGCCGCAGAGCACCACCACCACUGCCGUCUCCCUCCCAAAUCGCUGCCUGCCCCUCCACGCACACAGCCGCCUCACAGAUCGCAAUCACCUCUUCCCUCACCAUGCUGAUCCUCUCCUUGUCUGCACAGAUCACAGCACUCGCUCCGCUGCCCCCUUCCUCAUCUGCCAUUAGUGCCCACAUGGCCAUCGCCACCACCCCUGCCCUCACCAUCAGCACUCACAGCCAUCAACCCACACCAUCACCACCUUCCUUUUCCGUGACGCCCUCGUCCGCUGCUUCGCUGCCUCAUCCCACCACAGCCGCCCGCCAAUGACAUCGAGCCCGAGAUCAAGGGGGAUGCCGAGUCCGCGAUCCGAGGGUGGUACCUUCGAGUAAGAAGGAAUUUCUCCUAAAAAAAAAUAGAGGAUGAUCUUUUGAGCAUAUUUGAAAGUGCCAGAUGGUUUUAUUGAAGAAGAGUUUGAGAAAACAAUCGGUGAGGUGGUCUGCACCUCUAUCUCUCGGACUGUGAUAGACAAUCCUUCUCUCUUGAUUAGCUCAGUCCGACUUGAUGGACCUCUCACCUAUCUUAUGUGGUCUCGAAAUGUGUGGCUAUACAUCAAAGCUCACAGAUUUGAAGAUUUUUUUACUGGGACUACAGUUAAGCCACAAUCAGGAGAUACAGCAAUUUUGAAAUGGGAAUCGGAAAAUUCUCUUGUGAUUGCUUGGCUUUUCAACUCCAUGAUGCUCUUUGUUGCUCAAGAUAUGUCAUUUUUUGAAACCACCAUGAAAAUUUGGAAGGCUGCUGCCCAAACUUAUUCAUAAUAUGGUAAUACAGCUUAAGCUUUUGAGCUCAAAUGCAAGAUGCAUACACUUAGAUAGGGAGAACUCUCUAUCACCAUUUAUAUGGUGGAACUCCAGCGUAUGUAGUUCAAGCAAGAGUUUUGUCAUCCCUUCAAAGCUUGUUAUUCAAAAGAUGUUGUUACAUUCAAAAAAUACACUGAUGAGGAGCGAAUCUUUGAUUUUCUUGCUGAACUCAAUGACGAAUUUAACCCAAUCAGAGUUCAGAUUCUGAAUUGGAGUACAGAUAUGUCUCUUUUUGAAUAGGUUUUCUCUCUGAUUCUGAGUGAAGAGACUCACCGUCGCAUGAUGAUUGCUAUAGAUACUGUCCACUUUGCUAUGGUUGUUCAGCCCCAGUCACAAUCUCGACAAUCUCAUGGAUGUGGUGGUCGAGACAUGCGGAUAUGCUCCCAUUGCAAUAAAUCGGGGCAUGUUCAUGAUACUUGUUGGCAGCUGCAUGGUCAUCAAGGAGGAGGAUGUUCUGGUGUAGCUAUUGAUCAUCCUCAGGCCACACUUUUUGAGCACACAAAGAGAGGUGUUUCGUCUACUAUGGCAUUGACUCCUCCACCUACUGAUGCUGGCAGUUCAUUAUCUAUUGAUGAGAUGCUCCACUGAAUUAUGGACUGACUUAAUGUUUCUUUUAGCAGUGCUCCUUCUACUAAUGGUUUGCCUAGCAAUUCUUCCAGUUCUCCUUCUAUUUUUUAUUCUCAUUUUGCACAAUCCCAUUUCUCUCAUAUUAAGUCUAGUGCAUUAAACCUUGACAAUUUUAACUCUUCCAUUAGUACUUCUAAGAUGUGAGUCAUAUACUCUGGUGCCACUAUGCAUAUGACUGGUAAUUCUGAUAUAUUUAUAUCUUAUUCAUUGUGUUCUGACAAAGUAUGUAUAGCUGAUGGCUCCUUUCGACCUGUGUCCGGAAAGGGAUCCAUCAACUAUACACCGAUCAUAAAUCUUUCUUCUGCUUUGCAUAUCCCUAAUUUUUCUACUAAUCUAUUGUCUAUCCAUUCUAUUAUAAAUGAUCUAAAUUAUAAAGUUACAUUCUUUUCUACUUAUUGUAUUUUUCAGUAACUGACAACGGG